rnacentral:rRNA from 1 species
UACGGGGGGGCAAGCGUUGUUCGGAAUUACUGGGCGUAAAGGGCUCGUAGGUGGCCAACUAAGUCAGACGUGAAAUCCCUCAGCUUAACUGGGGAACUGCGUCUGAUACUGGAUGGCUUGAGUUUGGGAGAGGGACGCGGAAUUCCAGGUGUAGCGGUGAAAUGCGUAGAUAUCGGGAGGAACACCAGUAGCGAAGGCGGCUCGCUGGGCCAUUCCUGACGCUGAGACGCGAAAGCUAGGGGAGCGAACAGG